UCACUUUCAACAACGGAUCUCUUGGCUCUCGCAUCAAUGAAGAACGUAGCAAAGUGCGAUAAGUAGUGUGAAUUGCAGAAUUCCGUGAAUCAUCGAAUUUUUGAACGCAAAUUGCACUUUCUGGUAUUCCGGAGAGUAUGCCUGUUUGAGGGUCAGUA
rnacentral:rRNA from 1 species